GUGGAUUAGAUACCCUAGUAGUCCACGCCCUAAACGAUGUCUACUAGUUGUCGGGUUUUAAUUAACUUGGUAACGCAGCUAACGCGUGAAGUAGACCGCCUGGGGAGUACGGUCGCAAGAUUAAAACUCAAAGGAAUUGACGGGGACCCGCACAAGCGGUGGAUGAUGUGGAUUAAUUCGAUGCAACGCGAAAAACCUUACCUACCCUUGACAUGCCAGGAAGUCUUGAGAGAUCAGGAUGUGCCCGAAAGGGAACCUGAACACAGGUGCUGCACGGCUGUCGUCAACU
rnacentral:rRNA from 1 species